AACGAACGCUGGCGGCAGGCUUAACACAUGCAAGUCGAGCGCCCCGCAAGGGGAGCGGCAGACGGGUGAGUAACACGUGGGAACGUACCCUUUACUACGGAAUAGCUCCGGGAAACUGGAAUUAAUACCGUAUGUGCCCUUCGGGGAAGAUUUAUCGGUAAAGGAUCGGCCCGCGUUGGAUUAGCUAGUUGGUGGGGUAAAGGCCUACCAAGGCGACGAUCCAUAGCUGGUCUGAGAGGAUGAUCAGCCACAUUGGGACUGAGACACGGCCCAAACUCCUACGGGAGGCAGCAGUGGGGAAUAUUGGACAAAUGGGCGCAAGCCUGAUCCAGCCAUGCCGCGUGAGUGAUGAAGGCCCUAGGGUUGUAAAGCUCUUUCACCGGUGAAGAUAAUGACGGUAACCGGAGAAGAAGCCCCGGCUAACUUCGUGCCAGCAGCCGCGGUAAU
rnacentral:rRNA from 1 species